rnacentral:tRNA from 1 species
GGCAAGAUGCCUGAGUGGUUUAAAGGGCCGGUUUUGAAAGCCGUUAAGCUUUUGCUUCGGGGGUUCGAAUCCCUCUCUUGCCG